UCCCUAUUACUAGGGCAGUCUAGCCAGAGAAAUCCAACUGACUAUAAGGGUUGCGCUCGUUGAUGGACUUAACCAAACAUCUCACGACACGAGCUGACGACGGCCAUGCAUCACCUGUCACUUGGUCCCGAAGGAACAUCGGCCUUUCGGCGCGACUGCCAAGGAUGUCAAGCCUGGGUAAGGUUCUUCGCUUAUCGUCGAAUUAAACAACACGCUCCACCGCUUGUGCGGGUCCCCGUCAAUUCCUUUAUGUUUUAAGCUUGCGCUCGUACUCCACAGGCGGGAUGCUUAACGCGUUAGCUUCGCUACUACACGGGUCGAUACGUAUAACAGCUAGCAUCCAUCGUUUACGGCGUGGACUAC
rnacentral:misc_RNA from 1 species